rnacentral:rRNA from 1 species
GAUGAACGCUGGCGGCGUGCCUAAUACAUGCCAGUCGAGCGAACGGACGAGAAGCUUGCUUCUCUGAUGUUAGCGGCGGACGGGUGAGUAACACGUGGAUAACCUACCUAUAAGACUGGGAUAACUUCGGGAAACCGGAGCUAAUACCGGAUAAUAUUUUGAACCGCAUGGUUCAAAAGUGAAAGACGGUCUUGCUGUCACUUAUAGAUGGAUCCGCGCUGCAUUAGCUAGUUGGUAAGGUAACGGCUUACCAAGGCAACGAUGCAUAGCCGACCUGAGAGGGUGAUCGGCCACACUGGAACUGAGCCACGGUCCAGACUCCUACGGGAGGCAGCAGUAGGGAAUCUUCCGCAAUGGGCGAAAGCCUGACGGAGCAACGCCGCGUGAGUGAUGAAGGUCUUCGGAUCGUAAAACUCUGUUAUUAGGGAAGAACAUAUGUGUAAGUAACUGUGCACAUCUUGACGGUACCUAAUCAGAAAGCCACGGCUAACUACGUG